rnacentral:rRNA from 1 species
UGCCAGCAGCCGCGGUAAUACGGAGGGUGCAAACGUUGCUCGGAAUCAUUGGGCGUAAAGCGCACGUAGGCGGCUUGACAAGUUGGAUGUGAAAGCCCUGGGCUCAACCCAGGAAGUGCAUCCAAAACUGUCUCGCUUGAAUCCCGGAGGGGGCCAGAGAAUUCCCGGUGUAGAGGUGAAAUUCGUAGAUAUCGGGAGGAAUACCAGUGGCGAAGGCGCUGGCCUGGACGGUGAUUGACGCUGAGGUGCGAAAGCGUGGGGAGCGAACAGGAUUAGAUA